CACAGGUUGCUGAAUCAUGUCUCUGAUACUGAGGCCCUCUCUCCUAAGUCCAGAGCUGCACCGGACACCUGCCUAGCCAUUCCCAGGGACUAGGAGGAGCCUAUAAUUAGGAGAGGCACUUGUCUGAGACGGGGCAAAGGUGAGCCCUCAGGAAGGGACAGGGGAAGGGAGCUUUCCAUGUCCAGUUGAACCAUGUGACUCUUAAGAGCAAAGAACCGUGUGACUUGAACUUAGUAUUUAGGGCCAAACUCUGUCUUGGAUGCCUGGAAAUAUUUGACAUGAUGUCAUGAAAAGCUAUGAAAGUGUCUCUCUGUAGCUCCAAGGAAGGAAUUAGUCUUUUGCACGUACGUAUGUGUUCAAUUUUCGGCUGUCCUGAUUUCUCUCAAAAAGUCCAUGGUUCUUCCUCAGAGCUUAUCCAGGCCCGUCUGUGCCUCAUCUGCACUGGGGCAAGUCCUGCAUGCCUGGCUCCUUUGGCCCCAUUUUUCUGGCUGACUGGGUGGCACUCUGUGACAUUUUUCAAUCACACACUGUCAAGAGCUAAG
rnacentral:lncRNA from 1 species